rnacentral:rRNA from 1 species
UUCGGUUGAUCCUGCCGGACCUGACUACUAUCGGAUUGAUACUAAGCCAUGCGAGUCAUUGUAGUAAUACAAGGCAGACGGCUCAGUAACGCGUAGUCAACCUAACCUAUGGACGGGAAUAACCUCGGGAAACUGAGUAUAAUGCCCGAUAGAACACUAUGCCUGGAAUGGUUUAUGUUCCAAAUGAUUUAUCGCCGUAGGAUGGGACUGCGGCCUAUCAGUUUGUUGGUGAGGUAACGGCCCACCAAGACUAUUACAGGUACGGGCUCUGAGAGGAGUAGCCCGGAGAUGGGUACUGAGACACGGACCCAGGCCCUAUGGGGCGCGGCAGGCGAGAAAACUUUGCAAUGUGCGAAAGCACGACAAGGUUAAUCCGAGUGGUUUCUGCUAAAGGAACCUUUUGUUAGCCCUAGAAACACUAACGAAUAAGGGGUGGGCAAGUUCUGGUGUCAGCCGCCGCGGUAAAACCAGCACCUCAAGUGGUCAGGAUGAUUAUUGGGCCUAAAGCAUCCGUAGCCGGUCCUGUAAGUUUUCGGUUAAAUCUGUACGCUUAACGUACAGGCUGCCGGAAAUACUGCAGGACUAGGGAGUGGGAGAGGUAGACGGUA